UGUGAUGCGACGCUGUACUUCGUAGGGUAAAAUCUGACACCGACC
rnacentral:snoRNA from 1 species